rnacentral:lncRNA from 1 species
AUGACGGACUUGAAAGGAGAAAAAGGAGAAAAAGGAUCAAGAGGACCCCCAGGGCCAAUGGGGUUUACAGGGCCGGUUGGUGACUCUCUAAGUGAAAAGGGUGACCAAGGAGAACCAGGAGCACAGGGAAAGCCUGGAAAAGAAGGUGCCCCAGGUCCACCUGGUUUACCGGGACAGAAGGGUGAACAGGGCAAGCCAGGACUGCCUGGAAGGCAAGGAGCUAAGGUAUUGUCCAAUGGUUUUGUUACUGCUUUUGAGGAUGAGGUUAAGGUAUGUUUGGGGGUUAUUAUGUAA